UGCCAGCAGCCGCGGUAAUACGUAGGGUGCAAGCGUUGUCCGGAAUUAUUGGGCGUAAAGAGCUCGUAGGCGGUUUGUCGCGUCUGCUGUGAAACCCCGAGGCUCAACCUCGGGCCUGCAGUGGGUACGGGCAGACUAGAGUGCGGUAGGGGAGAUUGGAAUUCCUGGUGUAGCGGUGGAAUGCGCAGAUAUCAGGAGGAACACCGAUGGCGAAGGCAGAUCUCUGGGCCGUAACUGACGCUGAGGAGCGAAAGCAUGGGGAGCAAACAGGAUUAGAUACCCUGGUAGUCCAUGCCGUAAACGUUGGGAACUAGAUGUAGGGUCCAUUCCACGGAUUCUGUGUCGCAGCUAACGCAUUAAGUUCCCCGCCUGGGGAGUACGGCCGCAAGGCUAAAACUCAAAGGAAUUGACGGGGGCCCGCACAAG
rnacentral:rRNA from 1 species